GCAGAUUUGAAACAGCUGUUUCGUGUCAGCGCCAACAUUUGAUAGAGAUCUGGCGUCUGAGGAUUUUCUUCUGAGUGGGCGUUAGCGACCCUACCAAAUAUAAGAACAAAUUUCGUUAUAUUCGUUAUAUUGGUUACAUCGACGUUUCACAAGAUACUUUGGAAAAGUUGGAAUCGGAACAUAGGAAGAAAGACGAGAACUAUUCGCUACGAUGGAUAGGAAAAAAUCAAAAAAAUAAUUAAGGUUCUUGCUUCUUAUGACAGUCUUAUAACAGCUCUCAAGUUGGUACAAAUUCUCAGUUUACAAGACUCGGGCUUAGAUUGGCGCAGUAAACUGGCCUCGUUGUUAAGGUGGCCAAACGAGAACUUUGUUGGGAAGUCUGUCUUUUGUGGUCAAUUAAAAGUUUGACUACAAAGAAUUAUUACAACAUAAUUAAUGUCAGGAAUUCCGGAUAAACGCUUCGACUUGAGGCAAGAGCAUCGAAAUCAUAUCCUUCAGGCGGUGAUGGAGCUGUGGCUAAAAAGCUGUUCACGUUGCGCUGCAUGCAAACGGAUUUUGGGGCCCCGUGAUUUUAUUCGAGACCGUU